rnacentral:rRNA from 1 species
UAGGGAAUCUUCGGCAAUGGGGGGAACCCUGACCGAGCAACGCCGCGUGAGUGAAGAAGGUUGUCGGAUCGUAAAGCUCUGUUGUUAAGGAAGAACGAGUGUGAGAAUGGAAAGUUCAUACUGUGACGGUACUUAACCAGAAAGGGACGGCUAACUACGUGCCAGCAGCCGCGGUAAUACGUAGGUCCCGAGCGUUGUCCGGAUUUAUUGGGCGUAAAGCGAGCGCAGGCGGUUAGAUAAGUCUGAAGUUAAAGGCAGUGGCUCAACCAUUGUAGGCUUUGGAAACUGUUUAACUUGAGUGCAGAAGGGGAGAGUGGAAUUCCAUGUGUAGCGGUGAAAUGCGUAGAUAUAUGGAGGAACACCGGUGGCGAAAGCGGCUCUCUGGUCUGUAACUGACGCUGAGGCUCGAAAGCGUGGGGAGCGAACAGG